rnacentral:tRNA from 1 species
CAAGACGUAGCUAUAACAAAAGCAUUCAGCUUACGCCUGAAAGAUAUCUGCCUCGUACCAGAUCGUCUUGA